rfam:Desulfosporosinus sp. I2 contig00173, whole genome shotgun sequence.
GAGGGAAGGCCCCUCGAAGCUGCCAUGCAGGUGGAGGCUUCAAACCACCUUAAGCUGCUGUGGACAAAAGCCAUGGUAGUGAGCGUUAAGGAAAAGGCGAGGCAAGACCUCGUCAGGU